CUGACCUCGGAUCAGACGUGAAUACCCGCUGAACUUAAGCAUAUCACUAAGCGGAGGAAAAGAAACUAACAAGGAUUCCCCCAGUAACGGCGAGUGAACAGGGAAGAGCCCAGCACCGAAGCCUGUGGCCAUUUGGUUACUAGGCAAUGUGGUGUUUAGGUCGUUCCGCAGAGGUUCUGCUCCACCCUAAGUCCAUCAAUGAGUACGGUAGUAUGGACAUGGCCCAUAGAGGGUGAAAGGCCCGUGGGGGUGGAGAUUCGGCAGGCCAGAACCUCUCUGGGUAGACCUUGGAGUCGGGUUGUUUGUGAAUGCAGCCCAAAGUGGGUGG
rnacentral:rRNA from 1 species